AUGCCGCCGUCACGGCCGCCACGUCGCCGCUGCGGCCGACGGCGGCGCUCGGCCACCGCAGCAGGGACGGAUCCCUCCGCAGGCGGGAGCAGAGGGUGGCUCGCCGCCCGCCGCAGGCCGUUCAAGCGGCCCGGGCCCGAGCACGGCGACCAGGCGCUGCCCCUGUGCGACGAGACCCUGCUCCUCGUCUUCUCCGCCCUCUCCGACGCCGGGGACCUCGUCCGCUGCGCGUCCACCUGCAGGCGCUGGCGCCGCCUCGUCUCCUCCGACGCCGCCUUCAUCUGCCGCCGCGGCCCCCCGCGCUGCGACCGCUUCGCCCGCCGCCUCGCGGUCGGCGUCUUCCUGCACGGCGCCCGCGGCCGCGGCCGCUCCCGCGGCGACGGCUUCGUGCCCUUCACCAAGCCCGAUCUCUCGAUCGCCGACGGCGGGGUGCCGGGCUCGUCGUCGCGCGUCGUCGCGUCCCGCAACGGCCGCGUCGUGAUGGACCUCCGCCGCGCCAAGAGCGCCUGCGUGCUGCGCCUCUGCGUGUGCGACCCCAUGACCGGCAACGCCGACCUGCUCCCGCCCCUGGCCGGCAAGGACCGCCCGGGCCCGUACGCGUGCGCCCUGCUCACCGCCGACGACGGGCUCCACCUCUACGACGCAUGCGCGGCCACGUCCCCGUCCCCGUCCUCGUACCGCGUGCUCCUCCUCUACAACCACCGCAGCUACACGGCGCUCCGUCGCUACUCCUCGGACGACGGCAGCUGGGGCCCGGAGGUGGAGGUGACCGGCGCCCGGAUCGCGAGGGGGCGGCAGCUGGGCGUCAGGGCGCACGCCACGCUGGUGCGGGGCGGCGCGGUCUGCUGGUACGGGCUCGGCAUCGCCGUCAACCCCGCCACGCUGCACACGUCCAGCUUUGGCUACACCGUGCAGGCCUUCGAGUCGCCGCCGCGCCGCGCCAAGGCCUCCCUCGGCGAGGUGGACCGGCUGCUGGGGCUGAUGCCGGACGGGCGGCUGUGCGUGCUGGAGUGCAAGGCCGACGCGGUGCGCGCCUACGUGGUCGUCUACGCCGACGCGGUGAGGAACGGCGGCGUGUCGGGGAGGAAGGAGUGGCGGUGGACGCUGAACGCGGAGCUGAUGGGCCUGCAGGCGGUGAGGCUGCGGUGGUUCUGCGAGCAGAGCGGCGUGGCGCUCUUCACGGCGAGGAACCGGGGCGGCAAGACGCAGGUGUACGCGGUGGACGUGGAGACGAUGCAGGUGGGCAGGGUGGACUGGUCGGGGGACGACGGCGACGGCGGCGACGGGGACAUGGACGUGUGUGGGUACGAGAUGGACCGGGUGGCCAUGCUCGCCGAGCUCGACCACUCCGCUGAGCUCCAUCCAGCUCCUCGGCAGCUCUGA
rnacentral:rRNA from 1 species